AUGGCGACCGGCGCACGGGUGGCGUAACGCGUAUGCAACCUACCUGUAACAGGGGGAUAACACUGAGAAAUCGGUACUAAUACCGCAUAACACUAUGAGAGGCAUCUCUUGUGGUUGAAAGUUUCGGCGGUUACAGAUGGGCAUGCGUUGUAUUAGCUGGUUGGUAAGGUAACGGCUUACCAAGGCGACGAUACAUAGGGGGACUGAGAGGUUAACCCCCCACAUUGGUACUGAGACACGGACCAAACUCCUACGGGAGGCAGCAG
rnacentral:rRNA from 1 species